AUUGAACGCUGGCGGCAUGCCUUACACAUGCAAGUCGAACGGCAGCACGGGUGCUUGCACCUGGUGGCGAGUGGCGAACGGGUGAGUAAUAUAUCGGAACGUACCUUAUUGUGGGGGAUAACGCAGUGAAAGCUGUGCUAAUACCGCAUAAUCCCUGAGGGGGAAAGCGGGGGACCGUAAGGCCUCGCGCAAUUAGAGCGGCCGAUACCUGAUUAGCUAGUUGGUGAGGUAAAGGCUCACCAAGGCAACGAUCAGUAGCUGGUCUGAGAGGACGAUCAGCCACACUGGGACUGAGACACGGCCCAGACUCCUACGGGAGGCAGCAGUGGGGAAUUUUGGACAAUGGGGGCAACCCUGAUCCAGCAAUGCCGCGUGAGUGAAGAAGGCCUUCGGGUUGUAAAGCUCUUUUGUCAGGGAAGAAACAGCAGCUCUAACACAGUUUGCGAAUGACGGUACCUGAAGAAUAAGCACCGGCUAACUACGUGCCAGCAGCCGCCGUAA
rnacentral:rRNA from 1 species